GGUCCCGCCUGCCCAGUGAUUCUUUUUCAACGGCCGCGGUAUUUCUAACCGUGCAAAGGUAGCGUAAUCACUUGUCUUUUAAAUAAAGACCUGUAUGAACGGCUAAAUGAGGAUAAACCUGUCUCUUAUAAUUAAUCAGUGAAACUGAUCUUCCAGUACAAAAGCUGGAAUAUCUACAUAAGACGAGAAGACCCUGUGGAGCUUUUAAACAAACCGUUAAACAAACCUAACCAUCUUAACGCACGUUUUCAGUUGGGGCGACUUCGGAAUAAAAAACAACUUCCGAGCACAGAACCACAACCUCUAACUAAGGCAAACAAGCCAAAGCACACAAAUUGACCCGGCCUUGCCGAUCAACGAACCAAGUUACCCCAGGGAUAACAGCGCAAUCUUCUUCGAGAGCCCCUAUCAACAAGAAGGUUUACGACCUCGAUGUUGGAUCAGGACACCCAAAUGGUGCAGCCGCUAUUAAAAGGUUCGUUUGUUCAACGAUUAACAGUCCUACGUGAUC
rnacentral:rRNA from 1 species